GUUACUGGUCAAAGUUUCGUUUGCAGUAUGGUUUACAUGGGCACCCUCAGUUCUCGUAACACUACACAGAUAUCUUUUUGCAGUUAUCGUAACACUACAUAGAUGGAUGCACUAGUUUUUGGCAAUUAUUGAUUGUAAUAAACCAUUUUAUUGCAUUUCAAUGGCAGUAAUCGGUAGCUUAUAAUUUUUUACAUCUAUUCUGAAAAUUUGGCUGCAAUCGAUUCAGGCAUUUGAUCAAACGGAGUUCUGGUUACUUUUUGACAGAAUUUCAAUAGCUGUUACAGCAGACGAUAAUACAGAGACAUGUGACAGGGAUAUAAACGUAACGUGACAAUCGACUACUAUUGUAUGAUAGAAUAGAAGUCACUGUAUGUUAUCACUGAACGCUAUCAAUCUCCAGUAAAAGAAGUGCUGAUAGGGAUUGAAAAGGAAGACGAGAUGUUUAGAUACUGACAUGGCUGUCCAUCAGACCAAAUUGGUUGUCGCCAGUUGUGACAGUUAAUGUAAAUGGAAACAGUCAUUCAGGUGAUGAAUAAUUGCAAAUAGCCUCCUUUGUUGAUUUAUGUGUGAUAGCGAUUCUUCAAAUGUUUGUUUUAUAGGGAGAACAAGAUAGAAUUGGAAAACGAAGAAUCAGCCUGGAUCACUAUUGCCCAGACCGAGGAAUGGAAUUACUGAAUGUGUAGUUCACACGAUAUAACAUGGCUUUUGUGUGCAAAUAGCUUGAGGAGAAGCAAGUUCAACCAAACCUCAACUUUGGUCACAUCUUGGUUGCGUAUGGGUUCCAGACAGAUUACAGUUUCCACAACAAAUUCAAGCCGGCUUGGGAAAGCCGGCUGCCUUGUGUUUCUGCGCCGGAACUGCUUCAUGGGAAGUUUAACCCAGAUGCAGCUUCAGCCAAUAUUCUUCAUGUAGCGCAUGCUGCCGUAGAAAAUAAGGGGUGUUGGGAUCGUUUGUAGCAACCUGGACUGAUUUGGUGGACACAGGAUCGUUACAUUUCGCUUGGCCAGGAUGGAUUUUACAGGCUUGUUUGGCUUGGAAUCAUUCCAUUCAUUAAAAUAUCUUAUGAUAUUCUCCACUCCAAGAAUCAUAUAUUCAACUGAUUAAAUUCCAGGACUACAUUUAAAAUUCGUUUUCCGAACUUUCUUCGCUGUGGGUUUUGAAUGAACCACUUGACAAAAGUUUUUCAGUCGGGGUAGUAAUUAUCGAGAUGGGGCGAUUAUAGAAACUUGGCUGUGGUAACUUGAGUUUGGUGAAUUUAAUUACUCUUAACAAAUACCUCAAUUUAUCGGUAUUUAUUUGUAGCGAACUAUUCGCCAUACAAAAACAGAAGGAGUUAAUUGUUACAGAUGGAGAAGGUCGUCAUUAUUUCAUGAAAACAAUAGCUCUUAAAGCCCUUCUCUCUGCCGAUUUCCUUCUCCUGGCUCGUCGUUUUUUGAGCGGAAUUCUUACCAUUUGGAGCAACCAAAAUAGCAAUAUGGGUGCUGCCAUCAAUUUGAGUGUCGCACUGUCGCUAACCUUACACCAACUUUCCCAACAGAUGCAGCUAACAUGCUAACAAUCUAACAGCCUUAACAGUGAGCGUUUUCAACAGUUGUGGCCUUGUGGGUACAGCAACACCCAAACCACCGAAAACCACUCGAAUGGAUUGAAUAAUAUAAUUGCAGCACUGAACACGUCGAUUCACUGGCUAACGUCGAUACAUCAGAUUAGUACUUAUUAGCAUAUUGAUGUAGAUUUUAUGAAAUCAUUCCAUCUGCAAACUGUAAUCAACUAGUAGCGCUUUCCACAUUGGAACUGAUUUCGAAGGGACACAGCAUUAUUCUUUAAUUUUGAAUCAUUGUUUUAUUUUAUAAAUGCAAAUGUGUGUUUGGAGUUUACGCCAUUUUUAUUACAAGCUAAAAAUAAAAUUAUAUUCUGGAGGUGGUUGAAUAAACUUCGCAUUUAUCGAA